UACGGAGGGUGCAAGCGUUAUCCGGAUUCACUGGGUUUAAAGGGUGCGUAGGUGGGUCUGUAAGUCAGUGGUGAAAUCUCCGGGCUCAACCCGGAAACUGCCAUUGAUACUACAGGUCUUGAAUGUUCUGGAGGAUAGCGGAAUAUGUCAUGUAGCGGUGAAAUGCUUAGAUAUGACAUAGAACACCAAUUGCGAAGGCAGCUAUCUAAAGGAAUAUUGACACUGAGGCACGAAAGCGUGGGGAUCAAACAGG
rnacentral:rRNA from 1 species